GGCUGGCGGGGCUGGCCGCGGUGCUCCUGGGUGCGCGGGGCUGCCGCCGGCGGGGACGGACUGCGGGGGCUGAGGGGAGCCGGGGGUGGCCGGGGACGCUCUCUCAUCUGUCCGUCUGGCUUCUCUCCGACAACUUGCACCUCUCUCUGCUCCUACAUGAAAAUUCAGUGGGAGAAAAUGGAUUUUUUGAGUUUGCUGCUUCUUUUCUUCUCGGCAGUGGCUGUGAGCAGGGCGCAGGUGCAGCAGGAGCCGGCGUCAGAGACCAGAGAAGGCAUCGGCAUCAACAUCACCUGCUCACACCCCAGUAUACUGUCCAACGACUACAUCCACUGGUACCGUCAGCUCCCAAGCCGAGGACCCGCAUUCGUCGUGAACGCUUUUAAAGGAUCCACGGAGGUGCCAGAGCCGGAGGGGCGGCUGUGGGUGUCGGCAGACCGCCGUUCCAGCGCCCUGUGGCUCGCCCGGCCCCGGCUCGGCGACGCGGCCGUGUAUUACUGCGCCGUGGGCACACGGGAAGCGAAGCCGGGGCUGCGGCCGGGCACGAACCGCUUUGGGCGGGGCGGGGGCACAGUGCCGUCCGGGCCCGCAGGGGGCGCUGCCUGCAUGGCCGCCAAACUCCAUCCUGACAGGGUGCACCUCGCUGAGUUCUCGAGAAAAAUGAACACCGCACCCAUAGCAGCCUCUGAAGCCAAUUUUGGGUAGACAGAGUUGCGUUUGAGGUGGUCAGGACAGCAAAACUGUGUUUGACAUCAGAGUGACAUCCCCGCAGUUCUAUUCCAUCUCCUACUCUCUUGUCCUUCCCCAGUGCAGCAUAUAUGAGAGCGGUCCGAGCACUGUUCACAAGAACCUGUAGGGUUGCUUGUUCCCGUGGCCUUCCACACAGUCACAGCUUUUCCUGUGAGCACUGCAGAGGCUGUGUUCUCUCUCUGCCCUCUACCUGAGAGGGCAGUUGUGUGCAGAGACACUGCAAGUCAAAGACCUAUAACCACUUGUUCGGUCUUAG